AACCCUCUGCUGGGCAAAUGCUGCUCAGCUCACUGAUCACUGCCCCAGAGAUGGGGAUGUGGUUACUCUGGUGCACAGCAGCCCUGGGCAUCUUGGGAGCAAGACACACAGAUGCUAAAAUCACCCAAACACCAAGCCUGGUACUGAAGAGAGGACAGACAGCCCAGCUGACAUGCAAACAAACUGAUGGUCAUAAUAAUAUGUACUGGUAUCAGCAGCAGCAGCAGGGGAAGGGGCUGCAGCUGAUCUAUUACUCACUUACUGUAGAUAGCAAGGAGAAAGGUGAUAUUAAAGAUGGAUUCACAGCCUCCCGGCCAGAGAUAAAAGUCUUUGACUUGAACAUCCCCUCUGUGAAGACUGAGCACUCGGCUGUGUAUUUCUGUGCCAGCAGUUUAGACACAGUGCUUCAGAGUCACCUCCUCCCUCUACAAAAAGAAAAGGAGUACUUGUGGCAGUGUGAAGGGCCUUGCCUGGACAGAAGUCAAAUGUCAUAG